rnacentral:tmRNA from 2 species
CCUAUAUAUAUGGCGUCGGGCAACCGACUAUGGCGUUACAGAGCCUUGUGUAAUAAGCGUUGUGGACCCGGGGGCGGUACCCGGCGCCUCCACCAUUUAGGGGGGCGAAACAGGAUCGACGCGCGUGGUAAAGACUUGGUUUGCGCCCGGCAUGGUAUCCGCCGUCAUCGGGCCAAUUCGCUAAUUGCGAACGAUAACUUUGCGGGCGAUGCCCGUCUCGCUGCUUAGUCUGACUAGGUAAGCGCGGCCCGGGGGGCGCCGGGCAACAGAAGCCCCCCAACUUUGUCGCCUGUCCGGCUUGGCCGGGAUCGAAUGCCAG